GACGAACGCUGGCGGCGUGCUUAACACAUGCAAGUCGAACGGAAAGGCCCUGCUUUUGCGGGGUGCUCGAGUGGCGAACGGGUGAGUAACACGUGAGUAACCUGCCCUUGACUUUGGGAUAACUUCAGGAAACUGGGGCUAAUACCGGAUAGGAGCUCCUGCUGCAUGGUGGGGGUUGGAAAGUUUCGGCGGUUGGGGAUGGACUCGCGGCUUAUCAGCUUGUUGGUGGGGUAGUGGCUUACCAAGGCUUUGACGGGUAGCCGGCCUGAGAGGGUGACCGGCGACAUUGGGACUGAGAUACGGCGCAGACUCCUACGGGAGGCAGCAGUGGGGAAUAUUGCGCAAUGGGCGGAAGCCUGAUGCAGCAACGCCGCGUGCGGGAUGACGGCCUUCGGGUUGUAAACCGCUUUCGCAUGUGACGAAGCGUGAGUGACGGUAAUGGGUAAAGAAGCACCGGCUAACUACGUG
rnacentral:rRNA from 1 species